AUACUUACCUGACAGGGGAGAUACCAUGAUCACGAAGGUGGUUUUCCCACGGCGAGGCUUAUCCAUUGUACUCUGGAUGUGCUGACCCCUGCAUAAUUGGGAGGGAAACUCAACUGCAUAAUUUUUGAAGGGUGGGGGUGGACUGCAUUCAUGUUUUCCCCUG